rnacentral:rRNA from 1 species
AUUGAACGCUGGCGGCAGGCCUAACACAUGCAAGUCGAGCGGAUGAAGGGAGCUUGCUCCUGGAUUCAGCGGCGGACGGGUGAGUAAUGCCUAGGAAUCUGCCUGGUAGUGGGGGAUAACGUCCGGAAACGGGCGCUAAUACCGCAUACGUCCUGAGGGAGAAAGUGGGGGAUCUUCGGACCUCACGCUAUCAGAUGAGCCUAGGUCGGAUUAGCUCGUUGGUGGGGUAAAGGCCUACCAAGGCGACGAUCCGUAACUGGUCUGAGAGGAUGAUCAGUCACACUGGGACUGAGACACGGUCCAGACUCCUACGGGAGGCAGCAGUGGGGAAUAUUGGACAAUGGGCGGAAGCCUGAUCCAGCCAUGCCGCGUGUGUGAAGAAGGUCUUCGGAUUGUAAAGCACUUUAAGUUGGGAGGAAGGGCAGUAAGUUAAUACCUUGCUGUUUUGACGUUACCAACAGAAUAAGCACCGGCUAACUUCGUG